CUGAGACACACCUGAGAGAGCAGCUGAGGCCAGCCUUUGUUUGGUGUUUAAUUUGGACAAACAAUUGUAGUGAUUUCUUAAGCACAUCAGCCAAUAAAUAAGAUUCCAGUCACCUGCACGUCUCCGGAUAGGAAAAAUUGAAUAUUCUAGGCUCGAAAG